GGAAAGUCCCCGUGCCCACGGGCAGAGAGUGCCAGCGGGCGACCGCCGGGCCCCAGCGCAGGCACGCGCGGUGACACCAACGGUGGAGCUGCCGUGCCCGGCUGUCGCCCUUCGCAUCAGCACGGCCAUGUCGCGAGCGCUUGCCUCGAGGCGCCAACUGAACGGGGCUCACUCUCC
rnacentral:RNase_MRP_RNA from 1 species